rnacentral:rRNA from 1 species
GGCGGCAUGCCUUACACAUGCAAGUCGAACGGCAGCACGGGAGCAAUCCUGGUGGCGAGUGGCGAACGGGUGAGUAAUAUAUCGGAACGUGCCCAGUCGUGGGGGAUAACGUAGCGAAAGCUACGCUAAUACCGCAUACGAUCUAUGGAUGAAAGCGGGGGAUCGCAAGACCUCGCGCGAUUGGAGCGGCCGAUAUCAGAUUAGGUAGUUGGUGAGGUAAAGGCUCACCAAGCCGACGAUCUGUAGCUGGUCUGAGAGGACGACCAGCCACACUGGGACUGAGACACGGCCCAGACUCCUACGGGAGGCAGCAGUGGGGAAUUUUGGGCAAUGGGCGCAAGCCUGAUCCAGCAAUGCCGCGUGCAGGAAGAAGGCCUUCGGGUUGUAAACUGCUUUUGUACGGAACGAAAAGGCUCUUUCUAAUAAAGAGGGCCCAUGACGGUACCGUAAGAAUAAGCACCGGCUAACUACGUG